rnacentral:rRNA from 1 species
AGUCGGACGAUGAAGCCCUUCGGGGUGGAUUAGUGGCGAACGGGUGAGUAACACGUGAGCAACCUGCCCUUGACUCUGGGAUAAGCCUGGGAAACUGGGUCUAAUACCGGAUAGUACCUCCUGCCGCAUGGUGGGGGGUGGAAAGCCUUGUGCGGUCUUGGAUGGGCUCGCGGCCUAUCAGCUUGUUGGUGGGGUGAUGGCCUACCAAGGCGACGACGGGUAGCCGGCCUGAGAGGGUGACCGGCCACACUGGGACUGAGACACGGCCCAGACUCCUACGGGAGGCAGCAGUGGGGAAUAUUGCACAAUGGGCGGAAGCCUGAUGCAGCGACGCCGCGUGGGGGAUGACGGCCUUCGGGUUGUAAACCCCUUUCGGCAGGGAACAAGCCCCUUGGGGUGAGGGUACCUGCGGAAGAAGCGCCGGCUAACUACGUGCCAGCAGCCGCGGUAAUACGUAGGGCGCGAGCGUUAUCCGGAAUUAUUGGGCGUAAAGAGCUCGUAGGCGGUUUGUCGCGUCUGCUGUGAAAGCCCGGGGCUCAACCCCGGGUCUGCAGUGGGUACGGGCAGGCUGGAGUGCAGUAGGGGAGACUGGAAUUCCUGGUGUAGCGGUGAAAUGCGCAGAUAUCAGGAGGAACACCGAUGGCGAAGGCAGGUCUCUGGGCUGUAACUGACGCUGAGGAGCGAAAGCAUGGGGAGCGAACAGGAUUAGAUACCCUGGUAGUCCAUGCCGUAAACGUUGGGCACUAGGUGUGGGGGCCAUUCCACGGUUUCCGCGCCGCAGCUAACGCAUUAAGUGCCCCGCCUGGGGAGUACGGCCGCAAGGCUAAAACUCAAAGGAAUUGACGGGGGCCCGCACAAGCGGCGGAGCAUGCGGAUUAAUUCGAUGCAACGCGAAGAACCUUACCAAGGCUUGACAUGUGCCGGACCGUCCCAGAGAUGGGGCUUCCCUUUCGGGGCGGGUUCACAGGUGGUGCAUGGUUGUCGUCAGCUCGUGUCGUGAGAUGUUGGGUUAAGUCCCGCA